AAAUCGUGCCCCCAAAAGAAUUGCAGCCGCCGCCUUCUAAUGGCUUGCUCGCCCCGAUCGAUCCUUCUAUCACCUCCGCCGCCAUUAUAAUGUCCCUGACAUCUCACGUAGCCGUCUCCAACGUUCUCUGCACCUUGCGCGUGCCAGUCUUCCUCUGGAUCCAAGGGCUCCCCCGUGCACUACCUUAGGUCUGAUCACGUCGGCCCUAGCUUCAACUACUGCACUGGCCGUGGAUGUGUUGUUCUCUACGUCUCCAUCGCAUCCAAAGAUCCUAUCACGAUUCACGAUAAGAAGGCUAAGCUCCUAGAUCCCGUCUGUCGCAAAAUUAGAUAUGAGAUUGAUAUGAACUCGAUUGCUGGGUUCAUAAUUCACGACCUCGCUUCACGCGCUCAGGCUGCCAUACAUGAAUUUCUCGAGAUAGCAGGCCACGCAUUCCCAGUCAACCAGCGCAGUCUGCAGGAGAAGGAACGGAGCACUUUUAUUAUCACCACCAUGGACUUAAGUUGGUGCAUGGCGACCAUACUGUUCUUGGCCGCCAGUUCCAUACGGAGAAUCACAAACGAUGGCGGUUGGAGCAU